rnacentral:lncRNA from 1 species
CUCAGCCACGGGGCUGGCCCCUGAACUAGUCUUAAACACUUCAGUAUUAUUAUCCCCAUUGUACAGAGAAGAAAACUGAGGUUCAUGGAUACAUAGGACUUAUCCAAGGCCAAAAGAACCUUAGCGUGGCCAGGAGUCCAGGAAAAUACGGUGGGGGUCCUCGAGGACCACCCCAAGAAGCUUCAGACUUGGUUCUGCUGUGAUGUCAGGAAGCCGAUGGACGCCUGCGGCUGCUUGUUGCUGUUGUCACUGCAGGGGCCGGGGCGCUAGAAGAGAGGAAGUUUGUGCCCCAGAGAGGAGCCAAAUGAGCACCCCGAACAGAGAGACGGCAGGGGCAGACUUCCAGAGUCAGGAUGGACCUCACGAGUGGGUCACGUCUCAUUUCCUUCUUUCACAACCCCCAUUAGGCUGUCAGCUCGGAGUUUUAAAGGAGGGUCUUCAGACCACCUCUCUCCGGGGUCCUGCCUUUGAUCACUGUCAAGGUCUGAAUCUUCCAGCCACACUCCCUCCUUUGGCACAUUGUGCCCUAUUGCCUUAGUCAUCUCACCCAUUUGGAGGCCAAGGAGAAUGAAGACAGGGAGGGGAGCUGGUCCUGGCAGACACAGGGAUGGACUGGAGGCCCCUUUGGUUUCCAGAAGCUGAUCUGAAACCUUCCCUUUGCCCUGCGUUCCCAUUGGCCCCAUUUGCGACAGUAAACGCAUGGCUGUACUCAAGAGUUCAUUUUUCAAUGUUCUGCUUUUCUCUCUUCACAGUGCUGGAGUCCAGAGGGAGGCAGAAGAGAGGGACAGAGACUUCUGAAGUCUCCCUCGAGCUCGCCUCCUCUCCGGAGGGACCUUUGCUUCCAGAAUGGAGCCGUUCGGUCUAUUUUUGCAGUAGAGCUGGCUGCCCCAUGCCAAGGUUUCUUACCACAAAUAGAACUUCUGGAAGGGCCCACUGGUUUCCUCCGCGCUUCCAGACACCUCUUCACAUUUCAUCUGGCUUCCCUUCUCCAGCCCCAAAAGGGAAUAUUCCGAGUCUCCUCUGUGUUGCUGUGAUGAGGGCACCUCCAGAGGCCCUCCAGGGGGACUCCCUCGGGGCGGCCGUGAGCCUGGCCUGGCGCUUGGGCUCUGGCCUCUGGCCCACCCCGCCACCACUCCCUACAAGCUGAGCUGCGAAGCCCCAGGGGGCCGAGUCCCAGAGUGAAUCCCAAACGGAAGGCUCACCCCUGAGUGAGAUGGUGAAACAGACGAACCACACUCAGCGUCCUCGUCCCCUCAGCUCUCUGGCCCCUCACCUGUCAUUUAACGUGGGCUUUGAGAACUCAUCACUCCGAGUGUCAUGGCCAAGGGAUAUAAAACUGAGACACUUCCCUAAACGGGAUGCCUGGAAUCUGGACACGCUAGAAACAUCCCUGCGAGCUGAAUUAAAAGAGGUGAGGGGAAAUAAAAGCUCACCUCACCAACCUGCUAGGAAUUGUCAACCAGGCAAGAGCUAAGUGGGCCCAAGACCAGCUUUGGUUUGUCAGGGUCUGAGGUUAGACCAUGCAGGGGAAAGCUACUUUCUCGAGAUGCUUGAGACAGAGCUUCGGAAGAUUCCAGAACAGCAGCAACAAACCCAAUCAUUUGAAAGGCUCCCAUGUUAUGUAAGCAUCUCACCUCCUCUCAGGCGGUGUGGCUGGUAAGAGCUCAGUCUGGCAGACGGACUGGGUUCCUAUUUCAGUUCUGCCGCUUGCUGGCUGUGUGACCUUAGGGUGUUUCUAAACUGCUCUAAGCUUUUCCUUUCUUCUUGGGAAGCAACAAAGGGGAGAAUGACAACGCGCCUGGCAGAGAAUAAACCUGCAAGGAUGAAUAACAAGAGUCUACGAGAGCUGGACCCUUAACAUGAGCGAGAGUGACACCCUCCUCACGGUCCCAACCAUCCAAGCUAAAGGCUCGAGCUAAGAGGUGCCGACUCCAUGUGAACUCGAGGUGCAAGUGACCCUGCCCUCGGAGCUGCUC